AUUGAACGCUGGCGGAAUGCUUUACACAUGCAAGUCGAACGGCAGCACGGACUUCGGUCUGGUGGCGAGUGGCGAACGGGUGAGUAAUACAUCGGAACGUGCCCAGUCGUGGGGGAUAACGUAGCGAAAGCUACGCUAAUACCGCAUACGAUCUAAAGAUGAAAGCGGGGGAUCGCAAGACCUCGCGCGAUUGGAGCGGCCGAUGGCAGAUUAGGUAGUUGGUAGGGUAAAGGCCUACCAAGCCGACGAUCUGUAGCUGGUCUGAGAGGAUGCUCAGCCACACUGGGACUGAGACACGGCCCAGACUCCUACGGGAGGCAGCAGUGGGGAAUUUUGGACAAUGGACGCAAGUCUGAUCCAGCAAUGCCGCGUGUGUGAAGAAGGCCUUCGGGUUGUAAAGCACUUUUGUCCGGAAAGAAAUCGCGCUGGUUAAUACCUGGCGUGGAUGACGGUACCGGAAGAAUAAGCACCGGCUAACUACGUGCCAGCCGCCGCAGUAA
rnacentral:rRNA from 1 species